GCUUCAGUAUGUCACAGUACAUGUUGGCUUUCAUGGUUUCCUCAAUGAACUGUAGCUCCGCAGUGGUGCCAGCACUCAUGCAGCCCCAGACCAUGGCAUUCCCACCACGUUUGAUUGUAGGCAAGACACACUUGUCUUUGUACUCUUCAUCUGGUUGCCACCACACAUGCUUAACACCAUCUGAACCAAAUAAGUUUAUCUUGGUCUCAUCAGACCACAUGACAUGGUUCCAGAAAUCCAUGUCCUUAGUCUGCUUGUCUGCAGCAAACCAUUUGCGGACUUGUGCAUCAUCUUUAGAAGAGGCUUCCUUCUGAGAUGACAGCCCUGCGGACUAAUUUGAUGCAGCAUGCAGUGCAUGGUCUCAGCACUGACAGGCUGACCCUCACCCCUUCAACCUCUGCAAUAAUGGCAGUACUCAUACGUCUAUUUCCCAAAGCUAACCUCUGGAUAUGACACUGAGCACGGGUAUUCAACUUCUUUGGUCGACCAUCGCAAAGCCUGUUCUGAGUGGAACCUGUCCUGUUAAACCGCUGUAUGAUCUUGGCCACUGGGCUGCAGCUCAGUUUCAGGGUCUUGGCAAUCUUGUUAUAGCCUAGGCCAUCUUUAUGUAGAGCAGCAAUUCAUUUUUUCAGGUUCUCAGAGAGUUCAUUGCCAUGAAGUGCCAUGUUGAACUUCCAGUGACUAGUAUGAGAGAGUGAGAGCGAUAACACCAAAUUUAACACACCUGCUCCCCCUUCACACCUGAGACCCUGUAACACUAACGAGUCACAUGUCACCAGGGAGAGAAAACUGCUUCUUGGGCCCCAUUUGGACAUUAUCACUUAGAGGUGUACUCACUUUUGUUGCUAGGGAUUUAGACAUUAAUGGCUGUGUGUUGCGUUAUUUUGAGGGGAUAGCACAUUUACACUAUUUUACAAGCGGUAUAGUCACUACUUACAUUGUAGCCAAGUGUCAUUUCUUCAGUGUUGUCACGUGAAAAGAUAUACUUAAAUAUUUAUCAAAUGUGAGGGGAUGUAUUCACUUGUGAGAUACUGUAUAUACAUAGACAUAUACUCAAACACACACAUUGUAUGUACAUACAGUCCUAUUAUCUCUAUCUGUGUGUGUGUGUGUGUAUACACACAGACUACAUACUUCCUAUUAUCUCUAUUCUAUCUUCUAUUACUAUCACAAUGUUUCUUCUAAACUAUUAUUUAAAUACUAUGAUCUAUAUCAUAUAUGCAUUAAUAUUUCCUUCUUACAGAGCCUAUUCUGACUUUUAUUCCCUUUCUCUGGAAUUUCUUCUUUUCUACUUCUCUUUUAAUGGCCAGUAGGUAGAGCUCUUGCAUCUUUCUAAAUUGUGCUUUCUUUUCUUGGGUUUUUGUACAUAUUUUUCUCUGGACUGACUAUCCAGUCCCUCUGAAAGAAAAACAGAAGGUUGCUGUUCUUCUCAGUUUAUUGGUGGCUGCAGAGCUCCAAAAACACACCUCACCUCCCACACCUGUGUCAAAAUUGAAGCUUUAUUGGCAUCUCUGCUGUGCUAAUGUGGGAGAAAGGCUCAAAUCAGUGGUGGGAUUCAAAAAAUUUUACUACCAGUUCUGUGGGCGUGGCUUGGUGGGUGUGGCAGGGGAAGGAUACUGUAAAAUAUCCAGAGGUGGUAUUUGCUGGUUCUCCUAACUACUCAAAAUUUCUGCUACUGGUUCUCCAGAACUGGUCAGAACAUGCUGAAUACCAUCUCUGGCUCAAAUGGAAGGAAUGGCAGUAGCACAGGUGCUUGCAAUUUUGAAGACUGCUCUUACAUAGGCUAGAACAUGGGUGUCAAACUCACAGUGUCAUGUUGCCAUCAAGUGACAUUUUGAGACACCUCCCCUUCGUGGAGCUGGGGUGGGCGUGGCCUGCGCAUGACACUUCCGGCCCACGAGCCUCCUAUUUGAUGCUCCUAGGGUAGAAGCUGGGGACCAUGAGUUGUAUACCUGUCUUAGACAUGAAAGACAGCUUAAUGACUUUGCACUAAUCAUUGUCUUUCCCUCAAGGAAAAAGGCAAUAGCAACCCAUUUCUGAAAUCUUGCCAAAACAACUCCAGGGACUUGUCCAGGCAGUUGCCAGGAAUCUCAGAGAUGCAUGUAUGCACACACUUUUUUUAUAAACAGGAAAAGGGUAAUUAGAAUUUUGAUUUUGGAAAAUUAAAAACAAAGGGUCCAGAUGGAUUUGAAUUUUUUUUUGAAUUUAUCAUAAUAAACCUUACCAUAGCUUUGUUUAAUUCUUUAAAAACAUGAUAGAAAUGGACUUUGAAGAUUGAACACUACAGGGAACUAGGGGGCACUUAAUAUUAAAAUUAAAGGAGAAGCACACUUAAAUUUGUAUUAUUAAUACAGAAUGAAGAAAAAUAUUUUAACGUUGGAUAUAUUAAAAGAUAUUUUUGAAGUAGGGAUCUAGGAGCUAAUUUUAAGAGUGUCUGUUUUUAGAUAGUUAUUUAAAUGGUUUGGAAGAGGAACAAGUUUUACCUGACAACAUUGAGACCUAUUUUAAAAUAUAUUUAGUAAUUAUAACCUACAAGAAUGAUAUGAGAGCAAAAGAUGCUAUACUAGACUACAAAGGAAACCCGCUGAUGUCUUAUUAAUUAAAAAUAACAUACAAAUAACAAACUAAGAGAGUGACUGGGAUAAUUUUCCUGUAUUGGAUUUACAAAAGAGGCUUAUUAAAGCUUUAAAGAAUUUUGUUAGCACAAAGAAAAAAUGAAGAGAAAUCACAUUCUAAAACAUUAUUUGAAGAUCAAGAUUGUUAAAAGUAAAAGGAAUAUAAAGCUUAUUCAAUGUUUAUUAAUGUUUAUUCAGUUUAUCCAAUGUUUAUUAAUGUUAAAAUAGAUACUUUAUUUCUGAUAAUCCUUAAUGGACUUCUGCUGAUCAGGAUUGAAAUGACAAGGCAUUAGGGAUUUAUUAAAUAUUAAAAUUAAAGACACUUAAAUGAUCCCAUAUUUAAUUUUCUCUUCUCAUAAAGAUAAUUUGUCUUCUAAGGUGAUAAAUUACUAAAAUUGUUUAUAUUUGUGAUAAAGUUACCACUUUAUUUCUUUAUCAUUACUACAUUCUUAUUUUUUCGAUUUUCUGCAUCUUUUCUUUUUAUUCUAUAUUUUUGUGUCUUUAUUUUUGCAAUUAUAAUUCUUAAACAUUUUUUAAUUCUGGAGAUUUUUUGAAGGACUUUGGGCAGGAUUAUGGCAUUUAUAGAUGCUGAAUUGUAACCUCUUUUUUUUAAAUCUUUUAUUAACCUCUUAUUUUCCUAAUAUGGACCUAAAUUCCAUUCUAUAUCCUUUGUUAAUGUCUUCCAUACACUGGUAUAACUUCUGUAGUUGUUGGCUUUCAAAUGAAUGAAUUGAAAUAAAAUAUGAUUCUCA